rnacentral:rRNA from 1 species
AUUGAACGCUGGCGGCAGGCUUAACACAUGCAAGUCGAACGCGUGGCGGACGGGUGAGUAAUGCUUGGGCAUCUCGCUACUGGAGGGGGACAACUACGGGAAACUGCAGCUAAUACCGCCUACCAUAGGAGGAGCUCAAGUGGGAUUAGGUUGUUGGUGAGGUAAAGGCUCACCAAGCCGACGAGCUCUAGCUGGUAUGAGAGGAUGAUUCGCCACCCUGGGACUGUGACACGGCCCCGACUCCUACGGGAGGCAGCAUUGAGUAAGAUUCCACAAUGGGCGCAAGCCUGAUGUGGCCAUGCCGCGUGUAUGAAGAGGUCCUUAGUGUUGUAGAGUACUUUCAUCGGGGGGGCGUUACCCGCAGAAGAAGCACCGGCUAACUCCGUGCCAGCCGCCGCGGUAAUAC